CGGCGGGAUGGUGAGCUGGAUCGAGGUGCGGCUCACGGCCGACCCCGAGGGCGGCACGCGGUUCGAGCUCGAGCACGCCGC
rnacentral:tRNA from 1 species